rnacentral:rRNA from 1 species
AUUGAACGCUGGCGGCAUGCCUUACACAUGCAAGUCGAACGGCAGCACGGGAGCAAUCCUGGUGGCGAGUGGCGAACGGGUGAGUAAUAUAUCGGAACGUGCCCAGUCGUGGGGGAUAACGCAGCGAAAGCUGUGCUAAUACCGCAUACGAUCUAAGGAUGAAAGCGGGGGAUCGCAAGACCUCGCGCGAUUGGAGCGGCCGAUAUCAGAUGAGCUAGUUGGUGGGGUAAAGGGCCACCAAGGCGACGAUCUGUAGCUGGUCUGAGAGGACGACCAGCCAAACUGGAACUGAGACACGGUCCAGACUCCUACGGUAGGCAGCAGUGUGGAAUUUUGGACAAUGGGCGCAAGCCUGAUCCAGCAAUGCCGCUUGCAGGAUGAAGGCCUUCGGGUUGUAAACUGCUUUUGUACGGAACGAAACGGCCCUUUCUAAUACAGGGGGCUAAUGACGGUACCGUAAGAAUAAGCACCGGCUAACUACGUGCCAGCCGCCGCCGUAA